rnacentral:rRNA from 1 species
UACGUAGGGGGCAAGCGUUGUCCGGAAUUAUUGGGCGUAAAGAGCGUGUAGGCGCCAGAUAAGUCCGCUGUGAAAUCUCGAGGCUCAACUUCGAGCUGUCGGUGGAAACUAUCUGGCUAGAGUCCGGAAGAGGAGAAUGGAAUUCCAGGUGUAGCGGUGAAAUGCGUAGAUAUCUGGAGGAACACCGGUGGCGAAGGCGGCAUCCUGGACCGACACUGACGCUGAGGAGCGAAAGCCAGGGGAGCAAACGGG